rnacentral:rRNA from 1 species
AACGAACGCUGGCGGCAUGCCUAACACAUGCAAGUCGAACGAGACUUUCGGGUCUAGUGGCGCACGGGUGCGUAACGCGUGGGAAUCUGCCCUUGGGUUCGGAAUAACAGUUAGAAAUGACUGCUAAUACCGGAUGAUGACUUCGGUCCAAAGAUUUAUCGCCCAAGGAUGAGCCCGCGUAGGAUUAGCUAGUUGGUGAGGUAAAGGCUCACCAAGGCGACGAUCCUUAGCUGGUCUGAGAGGAUGAUCAGCCACACUGGGACUGAGACACGGCCCAGACUCCUACGGGAGGCAGCAGUAGGGAAUAUUGGACAAUGGGGGCAACCCUGAUCCAGCAAUGCCGCGUGAGUGAUGAAGGCCUUAGGGUUGUAAAGCUCUUUUACCCGGGAUGAUAAUGACAGUACCGGGAGAACAAGCCCCGGCUAACUCCGUGCCAGCAGCCGCCGUAACAC